rnacentral:lncRNA from 1 species
GGGGCACGGAGCUGCGGGAGCAGAGCCCUGCAAGGGCACGCAUCCACGCGUGCUGUGCCCUGCUCAUCCUGGGGACAGCUUCCACCUUGGGUGCCAUGAGCGGGUGACCCUGGGAUGCUGGCACCGGUGCCCUUCCAAUGGAAGGGGAGGCGGUGUCCCAUGGUUGGCAGCUGCACUGAGGGGAUCCCUGCCCUGCUGGGGAGCAGGGAUUGAGCGCAGCACCUGGUCAGUGGGUGACGGUCUGAGCUCAGCCUCUCAGCUGCUGGGUUUCGUGCAUUUACUUCGCAGGGCCGAUGGGGAGGAAGGAGGGGUCAGAGAGGAGAGCUAAGGAUGGGAACAGGGGAACUGUGCAUAGGAGAGACAGCAAAUGAAGUAGCCAGACAGAGGAAGGAGGUCUGCAAAGACUUGACUUGGCAAUAAAAGAAAGUGGAAAGACAAAAACAGUCUCCCUGCAAAACACUGGAAUUUAACUUUCACAGCUGCAAAUGGAAAACAAUCACUUCCCACACGAAAAUAACUGAUGGGCUGCAUUAACGAGGAGAUGUCUGAGGAAUUUCAAUUAAAACCCAGCGACACUGACAAAGGCAAUGAGAUUGAAGUGUUCAAAGCAGCAGAGAAUGCUGGGAGAGAUGCCAGGCCUUCGAGCGGUUGGGAGAACUUAACCUUGGCUGGAGGCACUGCCAUAAGUGACAGCAGAGACAAGCUGAGCCACAAGCAGAGCAUGGCAGGAGCCCGCAUCGGCUUCCCUGCAGCUGCCAGGCCACCCGGUGAAGAAGAUGAGUAUCUUCUAAGGCAGAUGAUAUUGUCUUUGGUGGGAAGAGCAUGUCCUUACAGCCUCUCCCCUGCAGGGACAGCUCUGCUCUGCCUGAGCCAGUGAUGGAACCAGAGAGCAGCGGGCUCAGGCUGCUGGGAAGGGCAUUGCCAGGCACCCCCAAGGGGAGACCAUGAAGGUAUCCUUUCUUGUCUCAACCACAGGUUUGGAAUUUGCCAGGAAAGGAUCUGCCUGAGUCAGGCAGGAGGCAGAGAGCUGCGGUCCUCCAUGUGCUGCAGCACGGCAGAGCUCUCAGGCUGACGGCCCUAAUGGGGUUGUGCUGAUGGGCUGCCUCAAGAAACACAUCCACUUACACGGAGAUGUAUGGGAGUAACAACCGACCGCUGCCGGCCCUGCUCAGAGCCUGCCAGAUCCUGCAGCCCUGCUUCCCCGAGGCACGCUGCAUUUCCAGGCGUGUGUUGUUCCAUUAAGCUAUUUUUAGCAAACACAUUCCCCUUAUUUCAGCAGCAGUUAUCUGAUUAGUUCCUGUAACUAUAUGAGGAGCAACAUUUCCAGGCAUGACUGAGAGCUGUGAGCAGGCUGUGCCUCUUCACAUGCAUUUUCUCAAAGGGAGAAACUUGCCGAGGCUGCUCCUCCCGCGGUGCUCCCAUGGUUGCACGGCUCCAAGCACUGGCACUGCAUGCAGCCGAGCUCUGCAACACGCGACCUUUGGCAGAGCAGCAGCCAGCAGGCAGUGUCCCCUCUGCCACCUGCGAUGAGGGGCCAUCCCUGUGCCGUGUUGCUGUGAUGCAGCGGCGAUAAGCAGCUGGCUUUGUUUGCUCUGAGCACGCGGCUCUUAAAGAUUUCUAUCGUCAUCGGCUGGUGGCGGGGAGGGGGGAAAAACAAAGUCUCUUUGCUAAAGCAGCACUGGUGCUGGGGAGGCUGUGCACCCUCUCCCCUGCGCAGGGAAUGCCCUGUGCCAGCUUUGUUGCUGCACGGGAACAAGCUAAAAAUCCCGUGGAGCCAUCGGUAGCUCCAGCAUUGUACUUUGCUCCCUCCGCCACUAUCGACCACAGCUGUCCUGGAAAAUCAGAUUAUAGAGCAAAGCCUUGGCAUCAAGUCUGCU